rnacentral:rRNA from 1 species
ACGGAAGGCAGCAGUGAGGAAUAUUGGUCAAUGGACGAAAGUCUGAACCAGCCAAGUCGCGUGAAGGAUGAAGGUAUUAUGUAUUGUAAACUUCUUUAGACGUAGAGAAAUAAGGUGCUCGUGAGCACCGAUGCUAGUAUACGUAGAAUAAGGAUCGGCUAACUCCGUGCCAGCAGCCGCGGUAAUACGGAGGAUCCGAGCGUUAUCCGGAUUUAUUGGGUUUAAAGGGUGCGCAGGCGGUCUUUUAAGUCAGUGGUUAAAUCGUGGAGCUCAACUCCAUCCCGCCAUUGAUACUGGAGGACUUGAUUGCGGUCGAGGUUGGCGGAAUUCGCCGUGUAGCGGUGAAAUGCAUAGAUAUGGCGAAGAACUCCGAUUGCGUAGGCAGCUGACCAGGCCGUAAAUGACGCUCAUGCACGAAAGUGCGGGGAUCGAACAGGAUUAGAUACCCUGGUA